rnacentral:tRNA from 1 species
GGAGGGGUCGCAUAGCGGCCGAGUGCGUCUGUCUUGAAAACAGAUAGGCCCGCAAGGGUCUCGAGAGUUCGAAUCUCUCCCCCUCCG